rnacentral:rRNA from 1 species
UACGAAGGGGGGCUAGCGUUGCUCGGAAUCACUGGGCGUAAAGGGUGCGUAGGUGGCGUGGUAAGUCGGGUGUGAAAUUUCGGAGCUUAACUCCGAAACUGCAUUCGAUACUGCUGUGCUUGAGGACUGGAGAGGAGACUGGAAUUUACGGUGUAGCAGUGAAAUGCGUAGAGAUCGUAAGGAAGACCAGUGGCGAAGGCGGGUCUCUGGAAAGUUCCUGACACUGAGGCACGAAGGCCAGGGGAGCAAACGGG